rnacentral:lncRNA from 1 species
UCAACCCAUCGAAUAAGCUGAUGUUAAUGCUCUUAAGCAUAUACUUACUCGUCUAACUUGUUUUGCCAGCUCUUGGAGAGAGAUGUUGCCCACAUAUAUAAGUGGCCCAACUCUCCAUUUCCAUAUGUUACAAAUCUCCCACUAAAUCUCACUACGCAUACAACUCUCUCCCUCUCUCUAUACAUAUAUACACACACACAUAGAGAGAUGAAGAUCACACUCAAAUCAUCCCUCUCUCUAUUUCUGGCUUUGCUCCUAUUUUGGUUUGUUUUCUCUCCUUCAUUUCAUCAAGCUGCAGAUGAAGAUAUGAUGACAACUUCUCGAUUUGUCAUGAAAAAGUCAAGAAAAUCAACGUAUCCUUUGUCUUCAUCAGCUUCUCCAAAACACGAGCAGUCGAAGAAAGCCACGGAGCAAAGCUUGAGGGCCAGACCGCCCAGCGUUCCCAAUCCCACUCAAAACUGACAAAAUUUGUGGCCUCAAACUCAUAUGAUAUGUGGGAAAUAGUUAUAUAAACAAGUCUUGUAUGAAUUUGCUUAAAGUUGUACUAGUUCUUAGUUCUCUAGUUGUGGAUGGUGAUGGUGAUGGAAUGAAUAAUUACUACUAGUUUUGAGCUUGUUUCUAGUGUGUGGCUAUUUAGUUAAGAGCAUUACUUUAUGAAGAUCAUGGCUAACUGCUCCAUGUGAUGUGAGGGCAAAAGGCAAGCAUCCUAUUUCGUGCAUAUCUUAAUUAUUUCAUAAAAGAUAUUCAACUUAGUUUGUGUCACACUAUUUCCACACGUGAACACUGAUGAGACAGUUU